rnacentral:rRNA from 1 species
UACGUAGGGUGCAAGCGUUGUCCGGAUUUAUUGGGCGUAAAGAGCUCGUAGGCGGUCUGUCGCGUCGGAUGUGAAAACCCAGGGCUCAACCCUGGGCCUGCAUUCGAUACGGGCAGACUAGAGUACGGCAGGGGAGACUGGAAUUCCUGGUGUAGCGGUGAAAUGCGCAGAUAUCAGGAGGAACACCGGUGGCGAAGGCAGGUCUCUGGGCCGUAACUGACGCUGAGGAGCGAAAGCGUGGGGAGCGAACAGG